rnacentral:rRNA from 1 species
AGGGUUCGAUUCUGGCUCAGGACGAACGCUGGCGGCGCGCCUAACACAUGCAAGUCGAACGAGAGAUGAGGAGCUUGCUCUUCAAAUCGAGUGGCGAACGGGUGAGUAACGCGUGAGGAACCUGCCUCAAAGAGGGGGACAACAGUUGGAAACGACUGCUAAUACCGCAUAAGCCCACGGCUCGGCAUCGAGCAGAGGGAAAAGGAGCAAUCCGCUUUGUGAUGGCCCCGCGUCUGAUUAGGUAGUUGGUGAGGUAACGGCCCACCAAGCCGACGAUCAGUAGCCGACCUGAGAGGGUGACCGGCCACAUUGGGACUGAGACACGGCCCAG